GGAUCGCGGCGGCCAGCGUCUCGGUUUAUCGGAUAAUUUUCAGUGAGCUGGAAUGAGAGACUUGAGGGCUGCAUGGAGCACUUAGCUCUAGGAAUGUGACCAAGAUUACCACCAGGAAGGCCAAUGAUUGUUAAAUGAGAUGGAAUGCACUAAAGAACACAAAAUCUCCCUGGGAAAUACCACUAAACAGCUUGGCUCUCAACUGACAAAUGAGGGGCAUUUUCCCGAGGUGGUCACCCGUGGCCUCAACAUGGCUGAAACUUCGUUCUGUCCUCCUGCCAGGCAGUCACCUAGGGAGGCGGUUCCAACUCAUUCAUAGGCUGGCUAUGUCUUUGCUCCCAAGGAACACAGAGAACCUGGAGGGAGCACUCUUGAUACAAGCUGAAAUGCUUCUCCUGCGAUGCCAAAGCUACUAUGAAUUGUAUGUAGAAUUAGAUAAUGAAUAAGUAAUUGAAGUGGGUGUGCUGGGGGAGGGCAGAGAAGCAGAUUUCACCAAAUGUUUUUUUUUUUUUAAACUGGGAGAAAUUUAAAAUAUAUGUAAUUGAUUUUAUCACCUCACCUAUAAAUGGACUGGAGACACUUGAGGAAAGUCCCUUUUGCAGAGGUAAAGUUUUUUUCUUUAAAAUUCCGAAGGCAGACUAAAACAGCUUUGAUUGAUUGGCUUUGAUGUGCUUUUUUUUCUAAUAGUAAUCACAAGGUAUCUAUUGCAUUUAAUUGUUAUAUACGGAUUUUUCAAUUUUUAGUUAUUGCCUAAAAGUAACUUGGAUUUGCCUUCAUAGUUUAUAGAGCACGUGAAAAACUAUGAAAUUAUUUUUUAUCUUUUUAAUUUGGGAAGCCCACUGGCUAUUUAUAGAAUUUGCUCUCUGUAAAUUGAGGCAAGCUGUUAUUUUACCUGUAUGUGUUAGGAUUAGGAGAACUACUUAGUCCAAUAGCAAAACAUAAAGUGUAGCCUAACUAAUGUAGUUCUCUUAGUAUCGGGGAUAUAGUUGGGCAUUAAGAAUAGACUGAGAAAAUUUAGACAAAUACAGUAUUAUUGGUACUCUGUUUCUCUUUCAUGGCUUGCUACUCUUUGCCCACUUAAUUCUUUUCUCUUUUUAUAAAUCUAUUCUCCUCAGAACACAGGAUGGAAAAUAGAGCUGCAUAUGGUGCCCAGAUUUGUAUAUUUCAGAUUUAGACCCUGAAGACAGACCAAAUCCACCGAUCUUUAUCUGUCUCUCUCUCUCUUCCUGCCUUCCAUUCCAGGGGUGAAACCCUGUCCCAGUUAUUUUCCCAUGUAGACUGGACUUUAAAACCAGUCAUGUGAACAUAUGUGCCAUGAGGACAGAGGGACAAGGGGAGUACCAGAGAAAGAGAAAUUAUGAACUAUGGAGACAACCUGUUAGGCAUGCACUGGAGCUAAGCCUUAUUGAAUCACCUGGUGGUAGGAAACGAGAAAAGCACAGUCCUUUCCAGAUUUGUCUCUUGAGAAAUUCACUUCAACAGCAUAACCGAUAAGCACUCUUGGCAUCAGACCUGGAUCAAUUCCCUGUUCUGUUACUUAUUAGCUGUAUGAUCACUUUCUACCUUCCUGUGAUAUCAGCUCUGUAAUAGGAAUGGUAGCACUGUACCUGCUGAAUGGGGAGUCAUGAAGAUUAGAUGAAAUGAUGUCUUUGAAGUGCUUUGUCAGUAUCCCAUACAGAGAAAGUUCCCUAUAUAUGUGGAGGCUAUAAUAGUUGUCAGUAUAAAUUUUUCAACUCAAGAUGGCAAACCAGUUACUUAUAGCAAACAUGGUAGACUUUAUUUUCAGAAAUGGCCCUAGUGAAAGUUCCAACCCUACAUUCUCUUUCAGGUCAUGGUCACUCCCAACAAGAUGUGGAGUUAUUUCUCCUUUUCUUGAAAUUUGGUGGGCCUUUAUGACUACUGCAAUGAACAGAAUGCAGCAGGAGUGACACUGAGUAAUGCUGGAUCAUGCAAUACAAUAUGGCUUCCACCCAAGCUCAGUGUCAAAGGCAUGUGACCUGUGCAACCAUGCUCAAAAGGGCCCCAUGCUUCGUUUAAUGCUUUAUUGUUGCCAUCUUGAAAUUCUUAGUAAUUUUUGAACUAGAAGUCCUACGUUUGCAAUUUGCAAUGGGCUUCAUGAAUUAUGUUGCCAGUCCUGCUUCCACAUGGCUCUCUAUCUCUUGGGACAUAUCCUAAACCAAAGUGUGAGAAGACCAGCUAUGCUGAGGACAUCAUGCUGGAGAGGCAACGUGAAAAUUACUUUGGGUUAGAGAGAGAUGCGUGAGGAGUUCUAGAUGCUCCAGCCCUGAGCUAUUUGAGUCUUCUCAGCCCAGGUGGCAGAUAUGGGAAUGACAAAUCUUCAGAUGAUUCAUAACCCAAACUUUAAGUCACUCAGCUGACAUUGAGUAGAACAGAAACGAGCUGUUCUGAUGAGCAAAAUAAAUGUUAUUGUCUUAAGCUGGUAGGUUAUUGAGUCAUAGGUAACAGGAACAAAACUAUUUCUGAGAAUAGCAUUGAGAAUGGUUGUCUCCUUAGUUUAUAAUUUCCCUUUCUAGUUAUUAGAGAGGGAAUGAUCAGUUUUUCUAAUCUGGAGCACAUUAACACAUACUAAUGUUAAUAUUACAUGAAACAUCAUUUUAUUUUCAUCUUAAAAAGUUUUCAGGAUUUUUUGUAUCACAAUAUUACCAUAUUAUUGGCAGUAGUUUAUGUUGUUCUAUGAAUAUGAAGAAGUAAUCUAGCAAGGGCAAUGCAAUAUAUUAAAAACUAAAAAUCACAAAUGCUUAGAAUCACAGAAAAAUAAGUAUAAUGAAUAUAAUGCUAAAUGUAGCUGUCAUUUUUUUAAUUUAAUUUAAAUCAUUUUGAGUGUUCAUUAUGUAUUGGGCAUUGCACUGGGUGCCAGAGAUCAAAAGGUCACGGAGGUUACAGGUAGGUGUGGGUAAGGGACAGAUAGUAAACAAAUACACAUGAGUGCAUUUAUUAAUACAAAUAAUAUUAUGUGCUAUGAAAAAGAAAUCAAUGGGGAAACAACUGAGAGAGAACAUUCAGAAAAGGCCAUGUGAAUGAAAUGAAAAGGAGCCGGUCAUGUGAAUGCUGGGAGAGGCGUGUCCUUAGCAGAGACCAGUCUUCAAAGACCGUCAGAUCAAAAAGGACUUCACAUUUUUCUGUGCCAGGAACUGUAAUAAAGGAGUCUUUUUGUAAUUAGUGGGAAGUUCGGAUAUGAAGGCCUAGAAAAACAUCAAGAAAAUCUGAGGAAAUUUAUUUAUCUUUUCAAGAAAAUCAGGCAUAGGACUUUGUAUUAUGGUUACCAGUCUUUCCUUUUCCUUUGUUUUUCCUCUCAAUUUUUUUUUUAUAGCUGUCGUCUAUGAGACUUAUUUUUUUCUUAAUUCUAGAUAUUUUUAAAGAGAUAAUCUUGGAUACUAGAGAGAAAAAACAUUGUGAUUUUGGGUAAAUACAAGAAAAGCAUGUCAUUGAUUAAUUGAGAUUGUUCUGUAAAGUAAUAUUUCAGUAGUCUAGCAUUCACUGAAACCCAAGCUAUGAAACAUUCUUUUAGAGUUGGUUUAUUUGUUCAGUCAAUAAAUAUAUUAUG